UAAGGACAUUCGUCGUCGAAUGUAAAUGUAGUUAUUUAGCCGAAACAAGUUCGAAUUCAUAAUUGAUAUUCACGUCAUCAUAUAGAUAUUAUGCAUAUGUAAAAACUUACUUGUUAGUGUCCCAGUUUCACGUCAUCCUUGCACUUCUUUUUUAGCUUUGAACAAAUAAGGGUAUUUCGAUUUCAUUGCUUCCUCCGCUUCCCAUGUAAUCUCUUCCCUUUGUUGAUUUCUCCAAAGUACUUUCACCGAUGCUACUUCUUUAUUUCUCAUCUUCUUAACUUGAAGAUCUAAUAUAGCAAUAGGCAUCUUCUCAUAGGUAAGAUCUUCUGUUACUUGCACAUCUU
rnacentral:lncRNA from 1 species